AACGAACGCUGGCGGCAUGCCUAACACAUGCAAGUCGAACGAGACCUUCGGGUCUAGUGGCGCACGGGUGCGUAACGCGUGGGAACCUGCCCUUAGGUUCGGAAUAACUCCCCGAAAGGGGUGCUAAUACCGGAUAAUGUCUUCGGACCAAAGAUUUAUCGCCUUUGGAUGGGCCCGCGUUGGAUUAGCUAGUUGGUAGGGUAAAAGCCUACCAAGGCGACGAUCCAUAGCUGGUCUGAGAGGAUGAUCAGCCACACUGGGACUGAGACACGGCCCAGACUCCUACGGGAAGAAGCAGUGGGGAAUAUUGGACAAUGGGCGAAAGCCUGAGCCAGCAAUGCCGCGUGAGUGAUGAAGGCCUUAGGGUUGUAAAGCUCUUUUACCCGGGAUGAUAAUGACAGUACCGGGAGAAUAAGCUCCGGCUAACUCCGUG
rnacentral:rRNA from 1 species